rnacentral:rRNA from 1 species
UACGUAGGGGGCAAGCGUUGUCCGGAAUCAUUGGGCGUAAAGCGCGUGUAGGCGGUCCGGUAAGUCGGCUGUGAAAGUCCAGGGCUCAACCCUGGGAUGCCGGUCGAUACUGCCGGACUAGAGCUCGGAAGAGGCGAGUGGAAUUCCCGGUGUAGCGGUGAAAUGCGCAGAUAUCGGGAGGAACACCAAUGGCGAAGGCAGCUCGCUGGGACGUUACUGACGCUGAGACGCGAAAGCGUGGGGAGCAAACAGG